AUAUAGACACUCAUAUACAUCAAAUAGUAAAUAGUAGGGGGAAGUUGAAAGAAUCUAAAGAGAAUAAAGAGGUUGCUGGCAGGGAAGCUUUUUUGUGUUUUUUUGUUUUGGGGGUUUUUUUUUUUUGUUUUUAUUUUUGUUUUUCUGCUUUCAGACAACUUUGAAGUUUGGUGAAGAUUAGAAACAUUUACAGUAAUACUACUCUUGUUGGUUUGGGUUUUAUUAUGGUUUGGGGGCUGGGUUUUUGUUGUUGUUGUUUUGUUUUGUUUAGUUUUCCCCAUCAUAACACUUAACUAGUCAGGAUAUACAGGCAGAAAAUAGGUAGUUGAAUUGAUCUUUGAUUGGGUUGAUCUUGAAUUGAAAUUUUUGCUGCUUAGAAAUAAUGAGGUCAUUAGAAUAUUAAUGGAAGUCAGUUAGAAGCAAUAAGUUAUGAAAUUUAGGUUUAUUAGAGAAGGUUAUUGGUUAAACAAAUGAUAGGACUAAGGACCACUCAGGUGGUGGAGCGCUUGUCUGACAUGCACAAAAACCUGCAUUCUGUCCCUACCACAUAAACCAGGCUGGGUGGUAUAUACAUGUCCAAAGUUAGGAAGAAGACACAAAAGAUUAGAAGGUAACAUGAAAAAACUUGAAGACAUCAUAUUAAGCAAAAUAAGUGAAAGACAAAUAUCACAUAUUUUAUGUUCUAUGUGGAAACUAAAAAAAUUAGUAGUCUAAGGUCACCCUUGGCUGCAAAAUGAAUUUAAGGCAAGUUUGGGUACAUGAAACCCUAUCUCAUCCAAAAACAAACAGAACCUGAAAGAAGAGUUGCAGCUGCCUGGAAGGGAGCCAAGGGAGGGAAGGGAGGAGGGCAAGAUAGAAGACAGACAGACAGACAGUGUCAGUGCAUUAUUUAUGCAUUGUGGAAACAAUACAAUGAAGCCCAUCUGUACAAUUAAUGUGUCAAUAAUUGUAAUGUGUUGUCUCAAUAACAGGAAAGUGGAUAUGUUAAUUAGCUUAAUUUAGCCAUUCUACAAUAUGUAUACCAAAACAUGCUAUAUACCAUAAAUAAUAUAGCCUUUUAUUUUUCAAAUAAAUAAGUUCUUUUUAAAGAAGAUAAUAUUAUCUUCAGAUCUCUAGGGUUUCUUUUUUUUUUUUUUUUAGUUGUGAGCCUAGCCUUUUUUUAACGGCUGAGCCAUCUCUCCAGCCCUCUCUAGGGAUUUCAAUGUCAGUCUUGUCCAUAAGAAACUGUGUCUUAACGGGCGUGGUGGCGCACGCCUUUAAUCCCAGCACUCGGGAGGCAGAAGCAGGCGGAUUUCUGAGUUCGAGGCCAGCCUGGUGUACAAAAUGAGCUCUAGGACAGCCAGGGCUAUACAGAGAAACCCUGUUCCAAAAAAACAAAAACAAAAAAAAAAAAAAAACCCUGUGUCUUAACAAAAGGGGGUAGGGGAGACCACAUACACACAAACAAGAACGGUGGAGUCCUGAUACAAGGAGAGAACGUCCCAAAAGAUGGUAGUAACAGAAGAAAGGCAGUUCAACUGUUAUCUCUGAAGUCUACGAAUAAUAAGAGCUGGCAACAGAAGGGAAAGUUCGGUAGCACCUGUCUGGGAGCUGUGCAGCCGAGGAGCAGCUCUGCGUGGAACUGGAUUAGAGCCCCGCAGGGAGAGAAAGGUGCAGCUAGGAUAUGAUGGUUAGCUUUUUCUAGAGCAUCAGCCCCUCUGUUGUGAUAAGGAUGAAAAUAGGAAAAAAGACCAGACGGUCACUUGCUCCUACCCUUGAAUUAGAUGUAUUCUCUCUGAGUACUCGGUCGGUGAUGCCAAGUGUUUGACAGAGAUCCAGUUAGUUCUUGGACAAUCUGGACUGACCCUUCACUGCCCUCGAUGGAUGCUCACUGCACUCCUUUUGCUGUCCUUGUGCUUUUUACUGUUAAAGGCCUUUCCCUAAAAGCUAGAGCUCGGAUAACAAAAGGCUAGUGGAAAUGAGAAUGAAAUCAAAGAAAGGUCCCCGGGAGAAACAGUUAUGCAGAAAAUUGAGUGUCUUCUAAGAACUUGUUACUUAAAUAAGUAUUCAGGUCACUAAUGAGUGUUGUUAGUACACAUGAGAAACAGGAUUUGAGAAGAGUUAUUAGGAAAAUUUUAGAAACUGACAAGUUGUUAUUAAAUUGCUAGGUUUUUAAUGUUCAACUUUAGAAACAAUGAACUUGUAUGUGUAGGAAGAGAUUUGGAUCCUACAGGUUUAUGACAAGCCUUGGUGCCUUCCUGAGGCAAAAGUGAGCAGGGUUAGGAACCCUGCUGUUCUUGGUCUUUACAGAAUUGUAGUAAAGAUAGGGAUCGUAUUGAAACAAGGGAUCAAGACAGGGACAGAGGAAGUCACCCUGGCUCAGUCACCUGCCUGCCUCCUGGACAGACUUGCCAGGUCAGAACUUUUCUGAUAGAGCACCCUUGCUGAAGCAAAGGGGCUGAACAAUAUUUUAAGAAUCAAAGAAAAAAGAACGGUGGUCUUAUGUCAGAUAUAAAAGAAAUAUAGAGGAAGGAAAGGGAGAAUUAAAUAAGGGUUAAAGGUUGAACUUCUAUAGAAAGGUAAGUUUGAUAUAAUAAGUAGUAGGAAAUAACUUUGGAUCUAUUAAUCUUAAGCCAAAAUGAAACAGAGUCAAAUUCAAGUAGAGCUGUCCUGUCUAGCAUCUCUGUAACUUCAAAGCUUUACAACACAAGUCUUAAGGAAGAAAAUAUUGAGUUUAAAGAAAAAUAUUUUCCCAAAAAAAAAAAAAAAAAAAAAAAACAAAGUGAGUUCCAGGACAGCCAGGGCUAUACAGAGAAACCCUGUCUCGAAAAACC
rnacentral:lncRNA from 1 species